rnacentral:lncRNA from 10 species
GCCAGGGCCGGGGCUCUGACCUGCCACUCUGCCCCACAUUAAGGGCAGAGACCGAAGAGGUGGCUGCCUGGACCUUGGAGCCCCAGGGUGGGCGGCCACCUUGGCCAGGACUCGGGCGCCCCCUUACAGAAGGCUGUGCUCACCCCUUCUUUUCUCGCCCCUGCUCUGUGCUGCAUUUGGAAAGAACCUAAAUGUCCUCCCUCUGAAGACUGGUUAAACAUCUGGUUAUGAUCCAGUGGUAAGCAGUGCCUCCCUUGGGUUAAGAAUACACACGCACACAUGCAUACACAUGCGUAAACACACACAUGUACACACAUGCACACUCAUACACUCACAUGCCCACUUAUACACAUACAUGCACACAUGCACUCCUAAACUCACAUGCAUGCGCACACACGCACAUGCACACACACGUGCACACACACACUCAUACACAUAUACGUACACACAUGCACACACACGUGCACACAUGCAAUGCACUCAUACAUACAUGCACACAUGCGCUCCUACAUUCACACACACAUGCGUGCACACACGCACACGCACAUGCACACUCACGCAAGUCACACGUGCACAUACGCACAUGCACACUCAUAUGCACACACGCACACCCACACUCACAUG